UUCAUGUUUUGUUAUAUAUAUAUACACAUGUAUACACAUAUAUAUUAGAUCACUAUUGUAGAUGAUAGGCUUUAUAUAUAUGAUUAAUAAAUAAAUUCACAUAUAGGAAAAAAAAAGUUAACACAACAUUAUGCAAUUUCCCAGAGCUCUGAAUAACUGCUUGGAGCAAGCCUUGCCAAUAGAAAUCUCAGCAGGGAAUUAGCAGGUGCUGCCUCUACAGAUGGUUUGAGAAGCCAAGGCUUUGGUCUGGGGCAAUGAGAAAAGAGAGAUUUGGGGCUUCUCACUAUUCCUGAAUAACUGUGAAUUUGGAAUGAUACUUUUAGCCACCAUAUAACCUGGGAGGGUUGGCAGCCUAGAAACACUUGUGUAUAGUUACAGGGUAGGAAUGGGUAGAGAAGAGAGGUUGGUGUCAAUGUGGAGGCCUCUAGUAAACUGAGCUUUUGAUUUCCACACUGGACAACGAGGGCCACAUAAGCGAUAUUCUUCUAAUACAAUCAAUGAAUUUUCAGAGUUCCCUUAAAAAUCGUUUCCAUUGUAAAUUUGACUUGACCUUGUUUCCUCAUGACUGCCACCACUAAACCUCAAUUGUCUUUACUUCUUUCUGGGUAGGGAGCUUUAGUUUCAUACAGUUAGUUUUUCACUGUAUUCCUUCUAGUGAAUAUUGUAAAAGUUUUAUUUCUCUUCUACAGAAUAGAAUAUGCUUGCUUCAAUGUCCUUGGCCGCAAAACUUAGGGAAUCAGGUGCUAACAACCAUCUAGAGACUAGCUGGAGAAAAGUUCAAUGUUUGGACACCCUCUUAGGGUAGCCCUUGGUAAGUCCAGUUGACUUUUCCAUUCCAUUCCAUUGCAACUUUCAUUACUAAUUAACUCCAUUUGGAAUUGUGAAACCACUUUUUCUUAUUCUUCUGUUUCUUCUUCCCUGUUAUUCCUGGACAUCUGCUGCAUAAUCAGCCGACAGAACUGAGCUUUGUGAGGUUUGUUUUUACUUUGUUUUGUUUUUUUCAUAGUCAAGUGGUAAUAAUACUGGACUAUUAGUAGUGGGAGAGUCAUGGAAAUGUAAUAGUGAUUGAGAGAAAGCCUAAAAUCAUAAGGUCAUAAGAUCAAUUUCAAUUAUUUUCAUGCAAAUCACCAGCUUUGAUCCUCUGUAAGAAUAGUCCAUAAAUUCUCGGGCAAAUGAAUGAUACACUAUAUUUUAAAGAGAGUUUGGUUUAUACACCUAUUUUAUGGAUCACAUCUAAUAUUUAACCUAAUGAGAGCCUGAAUAUUGUACAUUACUCAUGUCAACAAAUAACUGCAGAGUCUCCAGUGAGUGUCUUAGUUGGAUAAAGACUCAAGUGUCUGGAGUAUAACCAACACCAUGCUAAAAGAAGCAAGGUGUUUGCUAUUGAAAGAUAAUACUGUGCUUUGAAUUGUUAAAACACAUCAUAACCAGUGAAUUCUAAGCAUUUCUAAUGUUGGGACCAAUAUAAAAUAAUAAUAACGGCACAUUGACUAUUACUAAUCACAUAAAAUCAUCAUUAAAUAAUUUGAAUGCAUUCUUAUUUAACUCUUCUUACCAUCUUAGGAAGUUGAUGACAUUAUGUCCCCAUUUUAAAGAUGAGAAGAGGAAUUAGAUCAUUUACUGCAAGGUAGUGCAGCUGGAAACCUUCAGAGCGGGAGUUUUAAACUAAGGCCACUGGCUCCAAAGCCCCAGCUCUUUGCUACUCUGCUCUACUGCCUCAUUCUCAACUGGUUUCUGACUGGAAACCCAAAAGGUAUAUUUGCCCUCUACUAAUGGAAAAACUGAGCUUAAAACGGGCAAAUACUACUUUGUUCCAAAUCACUACAAUUUGUGGAAAACCUAGGUUAAUGUGCAAUUAGCAAAAGCCAAUGUCUAGAGGACAAGAAUUUUGUGUAUGGUUCUUACCAUCUAAAAAUGGUAACUAAUAUCUUUUUAGGACUAAUCAUGUGUCAGGCACUAUGUAUUAAGUGCUUUCACCUCAAACUUUUAAUAUUCACAACAACCUAAUGAAGUAGGUCCUAUUAGUAAACUCAUUCUACAGACAAGAAAACUGAGGCACAGGAAGAGGGAAUAACUUGCCCAAGAUCACACUGCUAGCAAGUAAGGGGCUUUGUUUCAGAGUCUGUGCUCCACCGUACCCGACUAUCUCACCUUUCUGCUUGUACCUUAGCCACUGAGUACCAAACCUCCUGGUGAAACUUUGGGCUUCAAAGACCCUUAUCUUCUGAAUGAUACACACCAAAUAAAUAAUGCAUGAGAUCAGCUAAUAAGAGAUCAUGGAAAUAUUGAGUAGUAGCAGACAGAAUUGAAGACAAAAUUAGUAAUUUUAUCAUGAGAAUAU
rnacentral:lncRNA from 1 species